rnacentral:lncRNA from 1 species
CCCGUCCAUAAUAAUCUGACCCGUUAAACAUAUCCUUAUGCGAAUGAGGUCAGACUUAUUCCACACGUUCUUAUUAUCAGCAUCAUCUUUCUCCUUGAGCUUCAACACUCCAUAGCUUCCUGCCACCGUAACUCUCUCGAUUCUCUAUUAAAUCAAGCCGUUCAAGAGCCUAUUUCGAGUGAUUUUUUCACAAGGAACACGAUUCUAACCUUCGUCUGUUCCGAUUUGCAUCCGUUUGCGAGUCAUCGGAAUAUUGGGUGACGAACCCUAGUUUUCAAGUUUGGGGUUUUUCGCUUUGGAUUGAAGUUUGUUGAAUCUGAAGUUUAUUCUAGCAUGUCUAAACAUAAAAGAAUGGAUUUGAUAACUUAGAGAUACAAGGAAAUACGAAAUAAUGAAGUUGAAGGGCCAUUCGGUAAUUAAUGGGAAGAUUAAUGUAGUGAAAAUGCAAAAGAAAUGAAGAAUGUCGAAGUCCAGGGGCCUAAAUCAUAUUACAUAAAUGUUGUAUGCAACUGUGAACACAAGCAUAUACACGUGAGGGAUGGGAAGGCAUUAUUUUUCAAGAUCAUAAUAAUAAUCAUUGCCCACGAUGACUUGUGGAUAUUGGGAAUUCUUGGGAGAAGCACUUAUUCGGGGAUGUUGGUGGCAGCUUUUCACAAGACAAUUUUUGGAGGUUUUGUUUCAACAAAUAACAUCAUCAUGUCUUCAUCACGACUGGGAAAGAGAAAGUUGUUGCUCCGCCAUCUAAAUCGGCUGCGACAAAGAAGCGGAAAACAACCAUCGAUCAGGUCCACGUGCUCAUUCUGUACUCUAGUUGAACAAUUUUAGUUUUUCUUGUUUUGGUGUGUUUUUGUGUUUUGGUGGUGUUUAACUAUUUAUGUUUAGGGAAUGUGUUUGUGUUAAGUUGUUUUAGAAAUGGUCGCUCAUGAUGUUGGUUAGUUGGUAUUCCCGGGGUCUGCUUUUAGAAGCAUGAUACAUUGGGGACAAUGUCGCCCAAGUGUGGGGAUAUGGAACCCGGGAAGGGAAAAGGCUUGGGACAAAGGUUUGAAAGAGGUUGAAAAAUGAUUGAAAACGAUGAAAAGCGAAAAAAUGAAAUUUUUUUUAAAAUUUUAGAGAAUUUCAUUGCCUUAAGUGAAUUAAAUGGAUACGAAAACCGAACGUUUCAAUCACUAAUGGGUUCCUUGCUGGUAGUAACUAACUUAGUCCCUUGUCAUGGUCGUUCCUUUAAGUUUCAUGAGAGUAGGUCCGACAGGUGUUUUUAGGAUAAAAGAAUUGAGAAGAGAUGUCUAUUUAGGGGUAACAUGCUUUAGAUUGCAUAUGCUACAUGUCGGCAGCCUUUUACCCUUCUUUGGCGAGAAUUUUGAGCCUGUAAAAUGAUAGAAUGAUUUACAUUAUGACUUCAUUUGUUGAGAGCAGGCCGCAUGUUAUUCUGUGUUAAAACUUGUAUGAUUUGAUACAUGCUGAGACUGUGGUUUGACAUGUGCACGUAAGUGAUAAAGGCAUUAGGAUAUCCUGUACACCUGUUUGUUUGUUUUAUGUUUACCUAACCAUCACCCUUAGUAGCCCUGUUGAGCCUAUUUACCUUUCGUUUGUCCACUUAAAAUAAAUUGUUUGAUACCGACCGUGAACGACAAGUUAUGAAAAAAAAAAGAAAAGAAAAAAAAAUAGAAAAAAAGAAAAAGAGCAAAAAUAAAUUGUUGUGAAUAUUGUUUAUGUUCUUGGGUAGAAACCAAGCCUAAAGUUCGUUAUGUGUUGCAAAUAAAGUUGUCACGGUUUGGUCGGUUGUUUGUUCGCCAAUUAAAAAAUAAAAAAAAAUAAAAACCAAAAAUUUCCUACCUUUAGCCUAAGCCCAAAACCGAAAGUCCUUUUGAUAUGUGCCGUGUUAUAUCAUACAGUGGAGGUGUGAUUGUCGUACAAGCCUAUGAUUACGGAAUUGCAUGUUUGGUUUUGAGUGUUAUACAUACUAGCACAUUACACGCUAGUUCAGUUUUUAAACCGAGAGGAGAGUUCAUUGUGAGGGGCGUGUAGCAUGUAUUCUAAUUCUAAGCAUGUUAGUUUUGAAUAGACAAGUCUCGAGUUUUAGAAAUUGCACCAAUUGCUUGUCGGACUGUCAAUCUCGAUUGUGUCAGUCUGUGGAACAGGUAUGACUUGGGACUUAAACUGUUGCGUCGGUUAAGGGGUUUAGAGGUAUUGUUACUACGGUGAGUAGUUCCGUAUCGGUUUGCUUGAGGACAAUCAAAGGUAAGUGUGGGGAUGUGAUGGAGAGUGUGAAACAUGAGGGUUUAAGUGCGUAUCUUACAUGUUUUGUGCGGUUUUAUAUGAUUAUAUGUUUAGAAUUGUUUUAUUGCGAGAGUUUAUAUGUUUGCAGGUUAAGCACGUGAAAUGGGUGAAGUUACGGAGUUUAAAGAGAAAGAGGAAAGUGCGGGACGUGGAGUGAGGUAAUUAGCGAUGUUCGGGACGUGUUUCAAAUCAAAUAUGCGGCUUAGAUGUGCGAGAAAUAUAAACAUUAAAGUUGAAGGGCCUUAUUGUCAUUACCUGAAAGUUGAUUUUAGUGAAAAUAUAAAAGGAAUGUGAAAGAAAGAAGUUAAGGGAUUGAAUGGUCAUUAGUUGGAAGUUUGUUGGAGUUGUGGUUUAUUACGGUUGAAACAAAGAGCACAAGUAUAAAGGAUUAUUUAGAUGAUCAUCAAUUGUUUAUUAUGGGACAUCACUCAUCGAUCAUCAUCAUCAGUAGAUAUCAUUUAUUUACACAUGCAUACUUGAUGGACAUGGGGAUGCACACAAAAGUCAGCAGCCAAUUACAUCAACAUUAAAAAAAUAUAUACACGCUGACUUUGGUGGCUUUUGGCGGCAACUUCAUUAAUUUUUGGGACGGGCCCUCAUAAUAAAACAUCAUCGUGAUUAUCAUUAAAAAGGGCAGCCAUAUAAUAACUUGGAGCAUCUCGAUUUUUGGAAGCAAAUAGAAGACACUUUUUGGGCUCAUAUAACAUCAUCAAUCGAACUAGUGGGCAGCCCACUAUCCACAAAAGUCAGCAACAUUAAUUAAUUGUGGGCUCUUAAACCCAAAUAAAAGAGGCAGCAACAUCACGAAAGUGGAGGCCCAUUAACAAACUAAUUUUUUUUUUUUUUUUU